CAGCGGGGGUUUUNGGCCNUCCCGGCGAGCGGCGAAACGGGUGANUAAUGCAUUNGAAACGUANCCCAGUGGCGGGGGGAUAGNUCGGCGAAANCCGGAUUAAUACCGCAUACGCCNUGAGGGGGAAAGUGGGGGNUUUUCGGACCUCACCCCAUUGGAGCGNCCGAUNUCGGAUUAGCUAGUUGGUGGGUAAANGCUCACCAAGGCGACGAUCCGUAGCUGUUCUGAGAGGAUGAUCAGCCCACACUGGGACUGAGACACGGCCCAGACUCNUACGGGAGGCAGCAGUGGGGAAUUUUGGACAAUGGGCGCAAGCCUGAUCCAGCCAUGCCGCGUGAGUGAAGAAGGCCUUCGGGUUGUAAAGCUCUUUCAGUCGGGAAGAAAAGGCGUCCUCUAACAUAGGGGCGUCGAUGACGGUACCGACAGAAGAAGCACCGGCUAACUACGUGCCAGCAGCCGCGGUAAUACGUAGGGUGCGAGCGUUAAUCGGAAUUACUGGGCGUAAAGCGUGCGCAGGCGGUUCGCUAAGACAGGUGUGAAAUCCCCGGGCUUAACCUGGGAACUGCGCUUGUGACUGGCGGGCUAGAGUACGGCAGAGGGGGGUGGAAUUCCACGUGUAGCAGUGAAAUGCGUAGAUAUGUGGAGGAACACCGAUGGCGAAGGCAGCCCCCUGGGCCUGUACUGACGCUCAUGCACGAAAGCGUGGGGAGCAAACAGGAUUAGAUANCCCUGGUAGUCCACGCCCUAAACGAUGUCAAGCUAGUCGUUCGGAGCGGUAACGCACUGAGUGACGCAGCUAACGCGUGAAGUACCCGCCUGG
rnacentral:rRNA from 1 species